ACUACUACAACUCCAACCACUACUACAAAUCCAACAACUACUGCAACAACUCCAAAAACUACUUCAGCCACUACUAAAGUGUGUAGCUCCAACCAGUACCACAACGUCAACCACUACUAAAAUUCAAACAAUAUUAUAACUCCAACCAUUGCUAUAGCGUCAACCAUUUCUACCACUCCAACCAACAUCACUAGCAACCAAAGCAGAAAUGGAAUAUGAAAUUGUGCCAUGCGUUUCUAUUUGUUCAGUAUGUCAAUAUUAUCAAAAGAAUAGAAUUAUAUGCUUUUUAUCAUGCAAUAUAAACUAUACACUUGGUGUAAAUUAUACAAUUUAACUCGAUUGGAUUAAAAAUCAAGCUAA